rnacentral:rRNA from 1 species
GUAGCCGGCCUGAGAGGGUGUCCGGCCACACUGGGACUGAGAUACGGCCCAGACUCCUACGGGAGGCAGCAGUGGGGAAUAUUGCACAAUGGGCGCAAGCCUGAUGCAGCGACGCCGCGUGGGGGAUGACGGCCUUCGGGUUGUAAACCUCUUUCAGUAGGGACGAAGCGCAAGUGACGGUACCUACAGAAGAAGGACCGGCCAACUACGUGCCAGCAGCCGCGGUAAUACGUAGGGUCCGAGCGUUGUCCGGAAUUACUGGGCGUAAAGAGCUCGUAGGUGGUUUGUCGCGUUGUUCGUGAAAUCUCACAACUCAAUUGUGAGCGUGCGAGCGAUACGGGCAGACUGGAGUACUGCAGGGGA